AUAGACGAACAGUGUGGAUGCUGGACCGUAGAGGGUGAGAGUCCCGAGUCGAAAAUGUGUUCCGCCGCUGUUGGGGGGGGUUGCCCCGAGUAGCACGGGGGCCCCGAGGAAUCCCCGUGUGAAUCUGCCAGGACCACCUGGUAAGCCUGAAUACUACCUGUUGACCGAUAGCGGAUCAGUACCGUGAGGGGAAUGGUGAAAAAGUACCCCCGGGGAGGGGGAGUGAAAUAGUACCUGAAACCAUGUGCCUACAAACCGUUGGAGCCUUCUUGUGGGGGUGACAGCGUGCCUUUUUGAAGAAUGAGCCUGCGAGUUAGUGAUACGUGGCGAGGUUAACCCGUGUGGGGAAGCCGUAGCGAAAGCGAGUCUGAAUAGGGCGAUUGAGUCGCGUGUCCUAGACCCGAAGCGGAGUGAUCUACCCAUGGCCAGGUUGAAGCGCGUGUAAGAGCGCGUGGAGGACCGAACCCACUUCAGUUGAAAA
rnacentral:rRNA from 1 species